AGACACAGACAACGAUGAGGUGCUCA
rnacentral:sRNA from 1 species